AAUAAACGCUGGCGGCCGUGCUUAACACAUGCCAGUCGAACGUGAAAGUUUCUUCGGAAAUGAGUAAAGUGGCGAACGGGUGAGUAACGCGUGAGAAUCUGCCCUAUAGUGAAGGAUACUACUGAGAAAUUGGUAUUAAUACUGCAUACCUUCGAAAGAAGAAAGGUGGCCUAAAAGCUGCCGCUAAAGGAUGAGCUUGCGUGCUAUUAGCUAGUUGGUGGGGUAAUGGCCUACCAAGGCGAUGAUGGCUAGCCGGCCUGAGAGGGUGUACGGCCACAUUGGAACUGAGAAACGGUCCAGACUCCUACCGGAGGCAGCAGUGAGGAAUAUUGCACAAUGGGCGAAAGCCUGAUGCAGCGACACCGCGUGAAGGAUGAAAGGUCUUCNGAUUGUAAACUUCUGUUAAAAUGGGAAAAAAGAGUCUUCCUGAAUAGGGGAGAAAAGAUGAUGGUACCAUUAGAGAAAGCACCGGCUAACUUCGUGCCAGCAGCCGCGGUAAUANGAGGGGUGCAAGCGUUAUUCGGAUUUAUUGGGCGAACAGGGUUUGUACGCCGCUCUGUUAACUCACUUAUUAAAUGUCCUAUCUUAACUAGG
rnacentral:rRNA from 1 species